rnacentral:rRNA from 1 species
AUUGCAGGCUGNAACCCGCCUGCAUGAAGUCGGAAUUGCUAGUAAUCGCGGAUCAGCAUGCCGCGGUGAAUACGUUCCCGGGCCUUGUACACACCGCCCGUCACACCAUGGGAGCCGGUAAUACCCGAAGUCAGUAGUCCAACCACGUGAGGACGCUGCCGAAGGUAGGAUUGGCGACUGGGGUGAAGUCGUAACAAGGUAUC